rnacentral:rRNA from 1 species
AGGGAAUCUUCGGCAAUGGACGAAAGUCUGACCGAGCAACGCCGCGUGAGUGAAGAAGGUUUUCGGAUCGUAAAACUCUGUUGUUAGAGAAGAACAAGGGUGAGAGUAACUGUUCACCCCUUGACGGUAUCUAACCAGAAAGCCACGGCUAACUACGUGCCAGCAGCCGCGGUAAUACGUAGGUGGCAGGCGUUGUCCGGAUUUAUUGGGCGUAAAGCGAGCGCAGGCGGUUUCUUAAGUCUGAUGUGAAAGCCCCCGGCUCAACCGGGGAGGGUCAUUGGAAACUGGGAGACUUGAGUGCAGAAGAGGAGAGUGGAAUUCCAUGUGUAGCGGUGAAAUGCGUAGAUAUAUGGAGGAACACCAGUGGCGAAGGCGGCUCUCUGGUCUGUAACUGACGCUGAGGCUCGAAAGCGUGGGGAGCAAAC